CCAGGAAACCAUUCCUCAGGAAAGCUGAUU
rnacentral:piRNA from 1 species